GAUGAACGCUGGCGGCGUGCCUAAUACAUGCAAGUCGAGCGAAGCGGGGACGGGUGAGUAACACGUGGAUAACCUCCUAUACGACUGGGGUAACUUCGGGAAACCGGAGCUAAACCGGAUACUUAUCGAUGGAUCCGCGCUGAAUUAGCUAGUUGGUAAGGUAACGGCUUACCAAGGCCACGAUGCCUAGCCGAUCUGAGAGGAUGAUCCGCCACACUGGAACUGAGACACGGUCCAGACUCCUACGGGAGGCAGCAGUAGGGAAUCUUGCACAAUGGGCGAAAGCCUGAUGGAGCAACGCCGCGUGUGUGAAGAAGGUCUUCGGAUCGUAAAGCUCUUUUAUUAGGGAAGCGGUACCUACACAAAAAGCCACGGCUAACUACGUGCCAGCAGCCGCGGUAAUAC
rnacentral:rRNA from 1 species